AUUGAACGCUGGCGGAAUGCUUUACACAUGCAAGUCGAACGGCAGCACGGGGCAACCUGGUGGCGAGUGGCGAACGGGUGAGUAAUAUAUCGGAACGUGCCCAAUCGUGGGGGAUAACGUAGCGAAAGUUACGCUAAUACCGCAUACGAUCUACGGAUGAAAGCGGGGGAUCGCAAGACCUCGCGCGAAUGGAGCGGCCGAUAUCAGAUUAGGUAGUUGGUGGGGUAAAGGCUCACCAAGCCAACGAUCUGUAGCUGGUCUGAGAGGACGACCAGCCACACUGGAACUGAGACACGGUCCAGACUCCUACGGGAGGCAGCAGUGGGGAAUUUUGGACAAUGGGCGCAAGCCUGAUCCAGCCAUUCCGCGUGCAGGAUGAAGGCCUUCGGUGUAAACGUGCUUUGUACGGUAACGAAACGGU
rnacentral:rRNA from 1 species